AACACUAUACUUUCAGGGACCAUUUCUAUAGUUCAUUACGAAAGAAGUUUCUCUGACUAUAUAGAUAACUCCAGACCACAAAGACCAGGUGUAGAGUUCCCUCCUGAGCAUGAAGCCAGCUCUAGGUGCUGCUUUCCUGCAGCUGCCUGCUGCCAUUCAAGGAUGAUCAUUCUUCUCUCUCUUUGGGAGAGUGGGAGGGAGGGGACACAGAAAA